GCCUUCGUGGUGUAGUGGUCAGCACGCUCGACGCGUAACCGAGAGGCCAGUGGUUCGAUUCCCGGCGAAGGCA
rnacentral:tRNA from 1 species